GACGAACGCUGGCGGCGUGCCUAAUACAUGCAAGUUGAGCGAUGAAGAUUGGUGCUUGCACCCAUUUGAAGAGCAGCGAACGGGUGAGUAACGCGUGGGGAAUCUGCCUUUGAGCGGGGGACAACAUUUGGAAACGAAUGCUAAUACCGCAUAACAACUUUAAACAUAAGUUUUAAGUUUGAAAGAUGCAAUUGCAUCACUCAAAGAUGAUCCCGCGUUGUAUUAGCUAGUUGGUGAGGUAAAGGCUCACCAAGGCGAUGAUACAUAGCCGACCUGAGAGGGUGAUCGGCCACAUUGGGACUGAGACACGGCCCAAACUCCUACGGGAGGCAGCAGUAGGGAAUCUUCGGCAAUGGACGAAAGUCUGGCCGAGCAACGCCGCGUGAGUGAAGAAGGUUUUCGGAUCGUAAAACUCUGUUGGUAGAGAAGAACGUUGGUGAGAGUGGAAAGCUCAUCAAGUGACGGUAACUACCCAGAAAGGGACGGCUAACUACGUG
rnacentral:rRNA from 1 species